GUGUGUGUGUGUGUUCACUGCUGUGUGUGUGCACUUUGGAUGGGUUAAAUGCAGAGAACGAAUUCUGAGUAUGUGUCACUGUACUUAGCCGUAUGUCACAUCACAUCAUCACAUCACUAUGAACUUCAUAAUCCUGCUCUUGUCCUUCCAGGUGGACAGAUUUUCUGAGACCAUAGAUGGCUAUGGCUGGCGACGGACUAUUGUACCUUCAUACGGUACUCCAUAAUAUCUUUACUGUCUUGGAACCAUAAAAAUCUCAGAAAGUUCCUGUCUUCUUCUCUAACAAGAAAACAAUAAAACAUCUGUUGGAUGUCUGCUGUUAUGGCAACUGACUGUUUAUUAAAUUGAAUAGUGUAACACUUCUCUCUGGCUAAUAACUUAUAGAUUGUAUAAAUAAUUUACGCAUUAUAUGCCAAUCUAUGGACCAGCGUUUCAGAAGAAAAGGUACGCUACGGAGAAAGAUGCAACAACAACAGUGAACGGACUUGAGAAACAGGUUUCGGGAAAUUUUCCCAUUGGUCUUCAACAAAAAAGUCCAAGAACAACUCAAGGGAGGCUCGCCAGUCCAAACCCUCCUCAAAACCACUGGAAGGCCGGGACGAAUCCAGAACACAUGCCUUCGAACAUCAGAACAAGAAAAGAAAAA